CCUACGGGGGGCAGCAGUGGGGAAUAUUGGGCAAUGGGCGCAAGCCUGACCCAGCAACGCCGCGUGAAGGAAGAAGGCUCUCGGGUUGUAAACUUCUUUUCUCAGGGACGAAGCAAGUGACGUUUCCUGAGGUAUAAGCCACGGCUAACGACGUGCCAGCAGCCGCGGUAAUACGGAGGUGGCAAGCGUUAUCCGGAUGUACUGGGUGUAAAGGGCGUGUAGGCGGGAAAGCAAGUCAGAUGUGAAAGUCAUGGGCUCAACCGGUGGCCUGCAUUUGAAACUGUUUUUCUUGAGUACCGGAGAGGCAGACGGAAUUCGUGGUGUAGCGGUGAAAUGCGUAGAUAUUAGGAGGAACACCAGUGGCGAAGGCAGUCUGCUGGACAGCAACUGACGCUGAGGCGCGAAAGCGUGGGGAGCAAACAGGAUUAGAUACCCUUGUAGUC
rnacentral:rRNA from 1 species